rnacentral:rRNA from 1 species
AGCGCAGGUGGGAAAGUAAGUCUGCUUUAAAAGUGCGGGGCUCAACCCCGUGAGGGAGUGGAAACUAUUUUUCUUGAGUGCAGGAGAGGAAAGCGGAAUUCCUAGUGUAGCGGUGAAAUGCGUAGAUAUUAGGAGGAACACCAGUGGCGAAGGCGGCUUUCUGGACUGUAACUGACACUGAGGCUCGAAAGCCAGGGGAGCGAACA